rnacentral:rRNA from 1 species
GAUGAACGCUGACAGAAUGCUUAACACAUGCAAGUCAACUUGGACUUCGGUUUGGGUGGCGGACGGGUGAGUAACGCGUAAAGAACUUGCCUCACAGAUAGGGACAACAUUUGGAAACGAAUGCUAAUACCUGAUAUUAUGAUUUUAGGGCAUCCUAGAAUUAUGAAAGCUAUAUGCGCUGUGAGAGAGCUUUGCGUCCCAUUAGCUAGUUGGAGAGGUAACGGCUCACCAAGGCGAUGAUGGGUAGCCGGCCUGAGAGGGUGAUCGGCCACAAGGGGACUGAGACACGGCCCUUACUCCUACGGGAGGCGGCAGUGGGGAAUAUUGGACAAUGGACCAAGAGUCUGAUCCAGCAAUUCUGUGUGCACGAUGAAGUUUUUCGGAAUGUAAAGUGCUUUCAGUUGGGAAGAAAAAAAUGACGGUACCAACAGAAGAAGUGACGGCUAAAUACGUGCCAGCAGCCGCGGUAAUACGUAUGUCACAAGCGUUAUCCGGAUUUAUUGGGCGUAGAGCGCGUCUAGGUGGUUAUAUAAGUCUGAUGUGAAAAUGCAGGGCUCAACUCUGUAUUGCGUUGGAAACUGUGUAACUAGAGUACUGGAGAGGUAAGCGGAACUACAAGUGUAGAGGUGAAAUUCGUAGAUAUUUGUAGGAAUGCCGAUGGGGAAGCCAGCUUACUGGACAGAUACUGACGCUGAAGCGCGAAAGCGUGGGUAGCAAACAGG